GACGAACGCUGGCGGCGUGCUUAACACAUGCAAGUCGAACGGUAAGGCCCUUUCGGGGGUACACGAGUGGCGAACGGGUGAGUAACACGUGGGUGAUCUGCCCUGCACUUUGGGAUAAGCCUGGGAUACUGGGUCUAAUACCGGAUAGGACUACGCGAUGCAUGUCGUGUGGUGGAAAGCUUUUGCGGUGUGGGAUGGGCCCGCGGCCUAUCAGCUUGUUGGUGGGGUGAUGGCCUACCAAGGCGACGACGGGUAGCCGGCCUGAGAGGGUGUCCGGCCACACUGGGACUGAGAUACGGCCCAGACUCCUACGGGAGGCAGCAGUGGGGAAUAUUGCACAAUGGGCGCAAGCCUGAUGCAGCGACGCCGCGUGGGGGAUGACGGCCUUCGGGUUGUAAACCCCUUUCAGCACAGACGAAGCGUAAGUGACGGUAUGUGCAGAAGAAGCACCGGCCAACUACGUG
rnacentral:rRNA from 1 species